UAAAACGUAGGACGCAAGCGUUAUCCGGAGUUACUGGGCGUAAAGCGCGGGCAGGCGGCUCGAUGCGUCUGAUGUGAAAUCUCCUCGCUCAACGGGGAGAGGCCAUUGGAAACGGUCGGGCUGGAGGGCAGUAGAGGCAGGCGGAAUUCCGGGUGGAGUGGUGAAAUGCGUAGAGAUCCGGAGGAACACCAGAGGCGAAGGCGGCCUGCUGGGCUGCACCUGACGCUGAGCCGCGAAAGCCAGGGGAGCGAACGGGAUUAGAAACCCCGGUAGUCCUGGCCGUAAACGAUGUUCACUGGAUGGCGGCGGGAUACCGUCGUUGUCGAAGCUAACGCGAUAAGUGAACCGCCUGGGGAGUACGGUCGCAAGGCUA
rnacentral:rRNA from 1 species